UUCACUUGACGGUCGCCAAAGAUCAGUCGGAGUUUAUUUUACCAGUACUCGUAUUAUUAGUGAUUGUGGCGUGACGAUUAGCAAUAGGCGCCGCGUUGCGUAUAAAAAUACGAUUGCACAUACUUAUAAGCUUGCGUUCGAGCCGUCAAUGCGCAAAGUUUUCGUAUUUGAUAAACUGGAGACAUGAAAGUUUAUUUGUAUGGCAAUCCUGCAUUAUGUGCAUUUUUUGUUUUUGUUUUGUAGCGGUCUCAGUCGGUUAGUUAAUGUAAGACGAGUGCUUUUGUCGGUACUCAGCACCCAAAAUGCGUAUUAGACGAAUAUACUCGUAAAUUUUGAAAUCAUCAGCAUACGAGUAUUGUAUCCCAAAACUUCCGCUUAUUACUUCAAAACUUGUUAUUGUUAAUGAGUUGCGAGAUGAUAAUAUUCAACUCUCAACCAAUACGAAGGCAAUGCAAGCUGGGUUUAGAUUGUUGCUGAGUCUAACUUUCGCUGCGACGAAAUGGCCUCAUGUGCGCUCACUGUUGUAAUUAGCGCUCACUACGCGAAAAUACAUGCACUUGUGUCCAUAAUGCGAAUUUUAGCAAAAGGAAAUGCGGCAAAACAAAAAAACCUCGCUCUUUGCUGAUAGCCGAACGCCAUCUCCACAUGUUAUUGCUGAUUAUCCUUACUUCUCGCUCCAUCUUCUGCUGUGGGAGUCAAUGCCAAUUCCUCUCAUCGAUUACCUGAUGAUGCCUCUCUCUCAUUCUGCCGCUGCUGCUGUGACUCCUGUAAGUGAUAAAGUUUCUGCUGACUAUUCUGCUGCAUCCGUUGCGGUGGGAGUUCACGCUAACUCCUCUCAUAUUGUUGCCGAUGUCAACUCGCGAUCGUGCGCUGCUGCUGCAAACAAGACAAGCAGUAUUGGUGCAAACACUGCUUCGCAGCCCCCUGCACAAUGGACUACUGUGACUGGUAAAAUGGCUUAAAAGCAAAAUAAGUCAUCGGAUGUGGUAUGAGGUGUUAACUGUUGUAGCAAUAAACAAAUGUAUAACCUUUUUUAAGCCUACGGUUUCUGCUGAAGAUAUUAUUGACUAUGUUGUUAAAAACACAAAAAUUUUUAAGUCGCUUAUUUCCUGCUUUAGCCUAAUUAAGAAAAUUACAGCAGUUAGCUCUUUAAAGAGAAUUAAUUUUAAGCUCGGGUUGCGCCAUCUGCUUUAGAUAAAGUUUUAAAUCCCACGCCUUGGCCAGCUAAUGUGUAAAAGGUUCGCCCUCUUUAAAAUUUUCGGAAGGACGAUUCUCUCAACAACAAAAUCUAAUGGAGUGACAUCGAUUGCGCGUUUCUUGUGCAACGCAUUAACUUUCUUACGCCGGCGAGAACUUUACGAAGCUUUUACCCUUUUUAUCUCAAGAUAUUCAAAACGAAUUUUGAAUCCAAUGCACCUACUGUGCGGACUCUGCGCGAAUUUAACGAGAUCUCGAACUCCAUAUGGUUAAAUUUUACAAUAACUAAAAAUCACUUAUCUUCUUUGUUAUAUUAUUUAAUUCGCCAAUAUACUCAUAGUUGUAUUCGUUUUAGUUAAGUUUAUUUUAGUUUUAGAUUGUCUUAUUUGUUACUCUUUUAAUAAAUUAUUUAUAUUAGCACUAAGGCAAUAGUCAGUAAGAACAUUUCAGUUUUUUGACUAAAAAUUCAAAUAAAUACUCGUAAAUAAAUAAAA